rnacentral:rRNA from 1 species
CCUACAAUUCAUUCUAAUCAACUAUAUACAACAAACAUCUAAUUCAGAACUGGUACGAACAAGGAGAAUCCGACUGUUUAAUUAAAACAAAGCAUUGUGACGGUUCGUAAGAAUGUAGACACAAUGUGAUUUCUGCCCAGUGCUCUGAAUGUUAACGUGAAGGAAUUCAAACAAGCGCGGGUAAACGGCGGGAGUAACUAUGACUCUCUUAAGGUAGCCAAAUGCCUCGUCAUCUAAUUGGUGACGCGCACGAAUGGAUUAAUGAGAUUCUCACUGUCUCUACCCACCAUCUAGCGAAACCACAGCCAAGGGAACGGGCUUGGAAAAGAAAGCGGGGAAAGAAGACCCUGUUGAGCUUGACUCUAGUCUGCUUCUGUGAAAAGACUUUGGAGGUGUAGCGUAAGGAGGAGCUUUACGGCGAACUUGAAACACUCCUACUUCGAACGUCUUUUUACUUCGGGUGUAAAAUGAUACUGAAAGGAUGAAAGUUCUUUUAUUAUUUGAAUUCAUUGUAUUUUAUAUACAACAAUCAAUCACCCAACAAAAGCAGGUGGGGAGUUUGACUGGGGCGGUACAUCUGCGAAAAAAUAGCGCAGGUGAACCAAGGCGGGCUCAGUGAGAAGAGAAAUCUCACGUAGAGCUAAAGGGCAAAAGCCCGCUUGAUUUAGUCUUUCAGUGUGAGAACAAACGAGGAAACUGUGUCCUAUCGAUCCUUUAUGUUUUGCGGAGAACCUCCGCCUAGAGGUGCCAGAAAAGUUACCACAGGGAUAACUGGCUUGUGGCUGCCAAGCGUCCAAAGCGACGUAGCUUUUUGAUCCUUCGAUGUCGGCUCUUCUCAUCAUUCCGUUGCAGAAGGCGGAAAGUGUCAGAUUGUUCACCUGUAAAAGAGGAACGUGAGCUGGGUUUAGACCGUCGUGAGACAGGUUUGUUUUACCCUACUUUCAGAUUGAUUUCUUGACUCGACACGGAGGUAGUACGAGAGGAACUGUCCGUGGGCGCAUUUGGUUCGUGCUUUCGUUGAACAACGAGUGAGCAGAUGCUACGCGCUCUUUUGAUAAAAACUGAAGGCCUCUAAGGUUUGAAUCAGACGAGAACAUGGAAGUCUAUAUUGCUUUUGAUUUUAUCCAGAUGCAUGAAUAUUAUUUAUAAAUGCUGUGUGGAGUUAUGAAUUUGCUUUUUAAUCAGAGUAAAUUCAUAAUUCGUAUUACAUUAUGGAAGUUAGCAAUCCGCAGUGUUGAGGAGACGACUCAUUGU